rnacentral:rRNA from 1 species
UACGGAGGAUGCAAGCGUUAUCCGGAAUGAUUGGGCGUAAAGCGUCCGCAGGUGGCUAUGUAAGUCUGCUGUUAAAGAGUCUAGCUCAACUAGAUAAGAGUAGUGGAAACUACAAGGCUAGAGUACGUUCGGGGCAGAGGGAAUUCCUGGUGUAGCGGUGAAAUGCGUAGAGAUCAGGAAGAACACCAGUGGCGAAGGCGCUCUGCUAGGCCGUAACUGACGCUGAGGGACGAAAGCGUGGGUAGCAAACAGG